ensembl:lncRNA
GGGGGAAGGAGUAAGUGGAGACAGGGGAGGGAGUCAGACAGCAGUAAAUAAAGAGAUAGAUUGUUCUGAAUUAGGAGUUUAGUUUCUGGUUAAGUUUAGGCAUAAAGUUACGUUGUUAAGUUUCAGGCUGGUGCGAGGUUCAGGUCAGGGUUUGAGGUUCGGUAAAAUGUGUUUUGAAAGGUCAUGAAGACAUGUUGUGUGUGUCUUUAUGUUUCACUAAUGUUUUGCCCACCAAGGACCACCAGGAGUAAUACGACUGUGAUCAAAGUGUAAACGUCCACCAGGAGUAAUACAGGUAUGAUCACAGAACCAACGUCCACCAGGAGUAAUACAGGUAUGAAUGAUCACAGAACCAACGUCCACCAGGAGUAAAACCGGUAUGAAUGAUCACAGAACCAACGUCCACCAGGAGUAAUACAGGUAUGAUCACAGAACCAACAUCCACCAGGAGUAAUACAGGUAUGAUCACAGAACCAACGUCCACCAGGAGUAAUACAGGCAUGAUCACAGAACCAACGUCCACCAGGAGUAAUACAGGUAUGAUCACAAAACCAACAAUGUCUCUUCUUUUUCCACCUUUCCGACCCACUCUGAAGCUCUCUCCCUCCGAUUCUCUCUGUCCCCACAUUGCCUCUUUCUGUUCAACUCUCCUAUGCGGGAUCAGGUUUCCUUUGAUAUGACAUUACGGGACCUCAGUGAAGGGUGCCGCGGGACGUAGAGUAAUAAUGGGGGAGGUUGAUGGGUGAGUUCUUCCCAACCACUGCGGAUCAGUUUCUUGUUAUGGCUUCCUCUUG